UACGUAGGUGGCGAGCGUUGUCCGGAAUUACUGGGUGUAAAGGGAGUGUAGGCGGGAAAGCAAGUCAGAAGUGAAAACUAUGGGCUUAACCCAUAGCCUGCUUUUGAAACUGUUUUUCUUGAGUGAAGUAGAGGCAAGCGGAAUUCCUAGUGUAGCGGUGAAAUGCGUAGAUAUUAGGAGGAACACCAGUGGCGAAGGCGGCUUGCUGGGCUUUUACUGACGCUGAGGCUCGAAAGCGUGGGGAGCAAACAGG
rnacentral:rRNA from 1 species